rnacentral:lncRNA from 1 species
AUGGUGGGAUGUAGUGGGGAGAGAGCGAGUUUUGCCCCGAGGAACUGUUGCUGAAGAGCAAGCAUUCGGUGGCUGUGGGAGCACCUAGCAGGGAUACCCAACUCGGAGCUGAAGGACUUCGAGAGAGCGCCUAGAGAUGUGAGCAGAUGCGGGCCGGUGCCUUGGCUGGGAGUGGCCAGCGAGAGAUGCGAGAGUGUGGCAGGCAGCAAGUAAAACAGCUGCAGAGCCGCUUUGAAGGGACGACCCCGGAAGUGUCCGUUGGAGGGAUCGCCACGUUUUGACUGAGGGGUGGGUUGGAGGUGGAGAACUCACUCAAGCUGGUCUGGGGACCACAAAAGAAAGGGCCCCGGUGGGAACCCUGGCUUUAUCUGCCUCUGUCAGAACUUAGAUGUUUGAAGAGUUGCCUUGUGGCUUAAGGAUCCAGUGUUGUUCCUGCUGUGGUGCGGGUUCAAUCCCUGGCCUGGGAGCGUCCGCGCGCUGCGGGCAUGGUCAGGAAAAGCACAUCCGGUGUUUAUGCCGGCUCUUCUUAGAUGUCAUUUAAAGUUUCAGAUCCCUUCAACUUCAUACUCGGGAGUUAAAAAUGUUUUCCUUUGCACUGGUAACAGUAAAUUGCCCGUUUAUCUACUAAAUAUGGUCUUUGUUCCAGCUGCCAAGCACGAGCUUAAUCCUGGGUCCUCGUGAACUGAGUCAAGACCCUUAGAAGUCAUCUGUGCUUUUCAUUACCUUGUAAUUUUACAGGUGACAUCCAUAUGCUCUUUACACAGACCCAACGGUCGAGAAGAUUUUGGGGUUGACUGCGUACAUUUGCUUUUUAAACAUACGUACAGGCUUCUUGGCCGCUAGAGGGUAGGUUACAGAGUCAUGACCCUUCAUACUCUGGGAACUAAGCCACGCUCCUACCGAGUGCCGCAAACACUUAGAAAAUCUAUAUGAACAUUUACUGGGAGUUCCCCGGGUGGCACAGUGGAAGCGAAUCCCACUAGUAUCUAUGAGGUUGUGGGUUUGAUCCCUGGCCUCACUCUGUGGGUUAAGGAUCCGGCGUUGCCGUGAGCUGUGGUGUAGGUCGCAGACAUGUGGCUCGGAUCCCACGUGGCUGUGCUGUGGCGUAGGCUGGUGGCUGUAGCUCUGAUUUGACCCCUAGCCUGGGAACUUCCACAUGCCACAGGUGCAGCCCUAAAAAGACAAAAAAAUAUCGGAUGAUUUAGGGUAUGUUGCCCAUGUCUGAUGUAAGUGGAAUGCAGGGGUAAAAUCUGCAUUCUGCCGGAUAAAACAUCUGAGCAAGUUAUUUUUGCCUGUGUUUGUGACUCUGACUUUGGCGCGGUUCCAUUUAAGCAAAAGCUUACAGAAGUGGGUGGUUCUGAGGUCCUGGCGUGUUCGCCGCGAGUGUUUUCUUUGCCUGCGGUACCGUCAUGCUUGCAUAGCUUGAUAAUGUCAUGUGUGGAAUAGAAGGUCUGGGGUAGAAAAAUGUGGCCUUUUCUCAACAUAACCAUGAAUCGGUGUUACUGACUCCGAGAAGUGACGUAGUUUGAAUCACCAUUAGAAGCAGUUUCUUUGGGGCGUCAGGCGGCCAUCCCUUUGCUUUCGGCCAAAGGACCGGGGCACACAUCUUGGUGGUGAUGAAGUGCUGAAUUCGAUUUUGGGGUUGGAAGAAAGGUGGGAGGUAAGAACAGAAACUGCUCUCCCCAGUUGCUGAUCAAUUUUUUUUUCAUUAAUUGCAAAACUGGUUGGCACUGUGCAACGUGCACCUCCAUUAAGAAUGCCAUAUUUUAGGAGUUCCCGUCGUGGCGCAGUGGUUAAUGAAUCCGACGAGGAACCAUGAGGUUGCGGGUUCAAUCCCUGGCCUCGCUCAAUGGGUUAAGGAUCUGGCCUUGCUGUGAGCUGGGGUGUAGAUUGCAGACGCGGCUCGGAUCUCGCGUGGCUGUGGCUCUGGUGUAGGCCGGUGGCUACAGCUCCGAUUCCACCCCUAGCCUGGGAACCUCCAUAUGCCACAGGAGCGGCCCUAGAAAAGACAAAAAGACACACACACACACACACAAAAGAAUGUCAUAUUUUAGUCUUGAUUUAGAGCCAGUGAAACUAAUAAAUUGGCCUCUAGAUUUUGUGUAUGUGUGUGGCCGCCAGAAACCAUGAAGGCAGCAUGUUCUUAAUAUCCUUGACUGUCCUGUCCUGCAAAGUGGUGAAGAAAGUGUUAAAUUAUUGCCUCUGAGUUUUCUGUGAGGGCAUGCAGUUUUUUAGCUUGUGUGCUGAAGUGCAAGUUUUGUGCAAACAACAGUAGAGAUUAGUUUUAGUUGCGGGUAGCAUGGUGAUCCAGGAGUACUUGAUGGGUCUCUUAAGGGCCAGGCAGUGUGCCCCUGGGAAUUCAGGGGUGGCAGUUCCCGUGAGACUCCAAUACGGACAUUGCCAGGAUGGAUUCAGUACUGGUGGAACAGAGGGGUGAUCAGAGAGGAAUACCUCUGAAUUGCAUCUUGAAGGAUGAGGAGAAUUCCUGAGUAACAUAUAAAUCACAUAACUUUUUUUUACAAGAAUUUGAAAUAAUAUGGGAGUCGUAGACAAAGUUCCACACAGCCUCGUCCCUGUUCAGACCGUUGUACAAGCUCUUGCAUGGCCAUCGGGGGGUGGAACUCGGAGAAUGACGACGAGAUAAGAGACCAAGUGGUGGGGCAGAGGAGGGUGGUGAGUGGUGACCAGACGGCAGCGGCAAGCAUACACGGCGGUUCGGGCACGGGAUAGGCUGGGCCCGAGCGCACAGCCCUCCCAGGGGAGGGUCUUCUCAUUGCCUUGGGCCAGGUCCGGCCCUGGCGCCCCUGGACACGAGGCGAGCAGUUGCCGCAGCAGCAGUGUCUGCAUAGCUGACGGUGAGGACUCCGUGGGUUCUGUUGCAUGUGAAAGCAAGUCUUUGUUGGGUUCGAAGGCUGAUCACCUGUCACCGCGAUAAAUAUAUUGUGAUGUCUUAAAACGCUGCUUGUCUGCAGUUUGCAUCUCCAGAGGAAAAUGCGCUGUUUACAACCAAACAUUAGGAAGGAAAGGACAUGAUUUCAUUCUGUGCGUUGUCAGCCAGCAGAAUAUUAAGCCUAGUGUGGGGAUUUUGCUGCUUCAAAACCUGGAGGUCCUCGGCUCUUUUUUUUGGUCCGAAGAUACUAUACAUGGAGCGGCAUGAGGACAAGGUGGAGAAACAGGCUAAGAUGGAUGAACAGAGAGUCGCAGGACACGGCAAAUAAACAAGGUCCCUGAAUCUUGAAACUGAUCUUCCUGAGGAUUAAUAACCCCUGUUCAAGGUCACAGCCGAAGACCGGCAGAGCUCGGAGGGAAGCCAGCCCGGACCUUUUGUCGCUAAAGAGGCCUCUGGGCACAGGGCAGUGACUCCCAGGUGGAGUUCAAGGCCAGCAGCCACAGCAGCAGCUGGGAGCUUGCUAGCAAUGUGAAUUCUUAGACGCUGCUCCGUCCUGAGUGAAGCUCGGGUGUUGUAAGAAGACCCCGAGGUGCCCCCACGCUCCCUGAGGUUUGAACACUGGCAAGAGAUGAGACCCGUGGGGGCCAGGCUGAACUGGGGAGGAGCCUGAGUUCUGUGUUUCCUCAUCUGCAAAAGCGGAGCAGUCACCGGGUUGUCGCCUGCUGGUGGUUGUGAGUGUGAGGUCAGAAACAGCAUGUAGGAAACGGCACUCUUGCCAGCACCACAUAUGGUGACCCCCUGUGGGGGGCAGGUGGAAGCCUUACGUGCCAGGGCUUUCCCACUGCCCCAGUCCGCUUAUCAAUGGGCCACUCGCUCCGGAGAAUGAAGUUCAUUUUCUCUGUCCUCUCAGGUCUUGAGUGAAAAUUGCUUUUUAGGUGGCUGAGGUUGGAAACCGGAAAAAAUGCUAAUUUAGGGGAGAGGUCUGAUUUACAUAUCUUAAUAGGACUUCACAUUCUCUAUAAACCAAUAGAGAAUUCUGUGAAGCCACCCCACCUGACCCCUCCACCCCCCGCACACACACACACAUUUUGAAUAAAUUUUAAGGCGUGAGAUGCUGAUUUAGGAGUUAGCACUACACAGAUGAUGGUCAGAACUCCGGGAGUCGGUGCAUUUUUCCAGACCCAGUUUUGCUCUGGGUGAGAAUAGGGUUGAACAGAGAGAACCCUGGGACGAUGCAAGGAUGAAGAAUGACGGGGAGUUCCCAUCGAGGUCAGCGGGUUAAGAAUCCCACUAGUAUCCAUGAGGACGUGGGUUCAACCCCUGACCUCACUCAGUGGGUUAAGGAUCUGCGCUGCUGUGAGCUGUGGGGUAGGUUGCGGAGCAGCUCACAUCUGGCGUUGCUGGGUUGUGACCUAGGCCAGCAGCGGCAGCUCCAAUGUGAUCAGUGGCCUGGGAACUUCCAUAUCCUGUGAGUGCGGCCUUUAAAAAAACGUCAUUGGGGGGGAAAAAAAAAAGAACUACUGAAGAAAGAUGGGAGAAGUCACAAGAGAGGACAUCCAGAAAGUCCCCUGUUGCUCGGAGAGAGGAAGAAGGAGGCCGUGCCAGUCCAGGUGCUUGGUGCCGAUGGCCGCAGUGGGCAAACUCCAGAAAAAUGGCAUCAUGCACCAAAAAACCUCUCCGUGUGAGUGGAGGAGCCCUCGGUCCUCGUCCCUCCGGGCUGCUGGAGCAGCAGCACCAGCGGUGAACUUUCUCAGCAGGACUGAGGUGUAUCGCUGUCUUUUUUUUUUUUUCCACAGACCACUGGCCAGGACAGUCAGGCCUGUCUGUCAGAAAGGAGGCUCAUCAGUGUAAGGACACGUUCUUGGCAGGCGCGGCGGUAGAGGAAGUGAGGUGUGUCGGAGAGUGGCCUCUGAGCCCCGCGCCGCCGUGUCCAGGCGCCGUCUUCCAGGAGGGCAGAGCCUGGAGCCCACACACUCUGAUGGCUCCUCUGGCACAGGCCCCUGCCUCGUUCAGGGCUGGUCCCAUAGGAAAACAAGCCAUGACGUCACCGUUGCUAGGAAACACAUAAACACAGCAAGAAAUAAUGUGCCUCUCUGCCGAGGGUUUAGCAUUGCAGCUUGCCCAUAAGUGACCCGCAGCCGUUUGACCUCUGUGGGGGCUCUGUCUCCAUGGCGACAGAGUGAUAAGGGAGAAACGGCUCUCCAGCCUGCUGGAAAAGGAGUUCCUUUUAGUUUCAGCCCAAGCCUUUCCCCCGUGUUCAUCGUCUAGUACGAGCAGGUGGUGGGUAAAAUCGCUUUUGACUGUUAACCUAGCCCAGGAUAAUAGUGGUUGUCUUUCAGCAAUAGAAUGCUGUUGAUUCAUUGGAUUUGUGGUCAAUUAAAGCCUACACUUGCUCUCAAAAUCUGUUGCCAGGCAACAUCUAUCUUGGCCCUUU